GACGAACGCUGGCGGCGUGCCUAAUACAUGCAAGUAGAACGCUGAAGCUAGGAGCUUGCUCUUCUUGGCUGAGUUGCUAACGGGUGAGUAACGCGUAGUUAACCUGCCUUGUAGCGGGGGAUAACUAUUUGGAAUGAUAGCUAAUACCGCAUAACCAUGGAUGACACAUUUCAUUUAUUUUUAAGGGGCAAUUUCUCCACUACAAGAUGGACCUGCGUUGUAUUAGCUAGUAGGUGAGGUAAUGGCUCACCUAUGCGACGAUACAUAGCCGACCUGAGAGGGUGAUCGGCCACACUGGGACUGAGACACGGCCCAGACUCCUACGGGAGGCAGCAGUAGGGAAUCUUCGGCAAUGGGGGCAACCCUGACCGAGCAACGCCGCGUGAGUGAAGAAGGUUUUCGGAUCGUAAAGCUCAGUUGUAAGUCAAGAACGGGUGUGAGAGUGGAAAGUUCACACUGUGACGGUAGCUUACCAGAAAGGGACGGCUAACUACGUG
rnacentral:rRNA from 1 species